rnacentral:lncRNA from 1 species
AGGUAAAUAUUCCUCACGCCAGCAGGUGAGGAGGCUGGGGCCAGAUGACAGCUAGUGAGGGAGCAGAGACAAGACAAGGCGAGCCUGUGACAGAGCGAGACCCUGUCUCAAAAAACAAAAACAAGACAUGUGAGCUUGGACUCCAGUGUGGAAUCCCAUGUCCGCUCAGUGCACCUUUCUGCCGCUGAAAGUACAAGAGGAGAGGGGAAACCCACAGGUGGAGCUGACCAUGAGGACUGUCACAGCUUUGAGAGGCAAAUCCAGAAAUCAGCCCUCCAGCUUCCUCUACCAAGAAGACUGGCGGUUACAACCCUGGCUCUGUGGGGCUUCUCUUGCCCUCUCUUCUGACUGCCCUACUUGGCUCCAGGUGAGGGUGAGAGGAAGCUGGAGAUGGAAGAUGCAGCUGGGGGAACUCACCAGGCAGGUCUCAGGGAACUCUUUGAAUAAGAGGACACCAGAUCAUGCCUGCAGUUCCAGCCCAGGAGCAACUAGCACCAGCCUCAGCAUGGAGCAGGACUUCAGUUCCAGCAGCGAGGACUGAGAUCAGACACAAGAGAAAGCUCCCUGAUGAGGAGGGGUGAUUCUAAAACGAAGGGCGGAAAUUAUCUGGGGAAUUUCCUUCCCGUGAAGCCUCAGGAACAUGCCAGUCCCCCACUUCGGUCUGUCCUGGGGGGUCUCACGCCCCUGUCCUCCUAGAGAAAUCUAGAUCCUCCAAACUCUGCCUGGGUUCUUCCUGGGGAGUCUUGACCCCUGCCUUGUGGUUGAUGUGGGAUAGGGGACCCGGGAACAGGGCUGCCUUCCUCUGGCCAAGGCCUGGCAAGCAAGUGUGGGAUGGGUGCUGUCUUCCUGAGAGGGACAAUAGAAGUGACAGAGCCCCCUAAUUCAAGACCCUGCAGAGGUGGUGUGAGAUCUUAUAAUAUCAGUCUCUAAGCCAGUGCCUCUCAAGCUCUCUUUGGUGAAGAAUCAAUUUUUAAAAUAUAUAAUCAGUCACAGAUCAAUGCUUUUGUAAAAUGCAAUAAAAGUUAAUUUCCAAAAAAAUCAC